rnacentral:lncRNA from 1 species
GGAAUAAAGGAAUAAGCCUGAUGCUCUGCCUGGAGUUCCCCGGCCUUCUUCUACAGUGACUUCAAAUGUGUGACUGAUGGAGAUUUAACAGAAGCACUUAUAAAAGAGAGGCCCCCAGAAUUGCAUUAUAAGCACAAUCUGCAGGAUCCUGGCCUCCAUCUAGAGUCACAAGUGUUCCAUUAUGACUGGCGUGGAGAGAUGCAAAG